rnacentral:rRNA from 1 species
UACGGAGGGGGCAAGCGUUAUUCGGAAUUAUUGGGCGUAAAGGGCGCGUAGGCGGCUAGAUGUGUCAAAGGUGAAAUCCCUCGGCUCAACUGAGGAACUGCCUUUGAAACUGUCUGGCUUGAGGCCGGGAGAGGGUAGCGGAAUUCCCAGUGUAGCGGUGAAAUGCGUAGAGAUGUGGAGGAACACCAGUGGCGAAGGCGGCUUUCUGGUCUGUAACUGACGCUGAGGCGCGAAAGCGUGGGGAGCAAACAGG